GAUGAACGCUGGCGGCGUGCCUAAUACAUGCAAGUCGAGCGAACAGACGAGGAGCUUGCUCCUCUGACGUUAGCGGCGGACGGGUGAGUAACACGUGGAUAACCUACCUAUAAGACUGGGAUAACUUCGGGAAACCGGAGCUAAUACCGGAUAAUAUAUUGAACCGCAUGGUUCAAUAGUGAAAGACGGUUUUGCUGUCACUUAUAGAUGGAUCCGCGCCGCAUUAGCUAGUUGGUAAGGUAACGGCUUACCAAGGCAACGAUGCGUAGCCGACCUGAGAGGGUGAUCGGCCACACUGGAACUGAGACACGGUCCAGACUCCUACGGGAGGCAGCAGUAGGGAAUCUUCCGCAAUGGGCGAAAGCCUGACGGAGCAACGCCGCGUGAGUGAUGAAGGUCU
rnacentral:rRNA from 1 species